UUGAGAGGCACUGAAAAGCAAGACCUGACAUGGCUGCCCAUAGAUAUAUUUCACUCCUUAGUGAUGAAGCCUUUCAUAGGACUCUUUUAAUAUAGGAAUAUUUGGAGAGCUCAUGAUAUGGCAAGUGGGGGAUCCCUGAGUAGGACUGGGCAAAGGCGGGAUCUACAGAGCUAGUUGGUCAUGAUAAAUCUUGCAGUCCCCACCGGCAGACAGAAGAUUUGGCCAUGGGAAGCCUGCCGCUGUGUCACUCGAGAGCCACACUCAGCUUUGGUGUUUUUGACUUGGGAAGGAAGAAUAAAUCAGCAUGGGUUUUCUAGUCUCCCCCGCCUUUCUGAUCUAGAAACAGAGGGUACAUGUUUAACUACAGCAGCAAAGGAGAAAAGACAACAGGAGGAACACCACGGAUGAAGAAAAAUCAUUACCUGCACCAGCUGCUUUCUAAAGGUUUAAUUGCAAAGGCAGAGUAGGGUAGAUGCAGCAUCACAGCCUAAACAGGGAAGCGGUAA